CUGCGGUGGCGCGCGGAAGUACCUUAAAAGGAAGCAAGUCAUUCUGCUGCUGGCGCUGGUUGCUUGGUUGCGCACUGCGAGAUUAGGUGUGCGACAUUUGCAGUAACCUCGCGCUAAUUAUCUGCAACUGAACACGGAACUGGGUGUUCAAACGGAGGACGAUGUCUUACUACUCAUCAUCCCGAAGUUCCUCUCGGAACUUGGAAUGUAAAGUUUAUGUUGGAGACUUGGGUAAUGGAGCUGCAAAAGGCGAAUUAGAGCGGGCGUUCAGCUACUAUGGCCCCCUGCGCAGCGUCUGGGUGGCCAGGAACCCUCCAGGAUUUGCGUUUGUGGAAUAUGAAGACUCCCGUGACGCUGAGGAUGCUGUGAAGGGCAUGGAUGGAAAAGUACUUUGUGGAUCACGCAUACGGGUGGAGCUGUCUACAGGUUUGUCCCGGAAGUCUCGUUAUGGUCGACCUGGCCGCCGCUCUUUUGACCCAAAUGAUCGAUGCUACCAGUGUGGUGAUCGGGGGCACUAUGCCUAUGACUGCUACCGUUUCAGCAAGCGGGGAGGCAGUCGUCGCAGCAGGUCCCGUUCCCGAUCCAGGUCUCGCUCUAGGUCCAGGGGACGAAGGUACCGCUCGCGGUCUCGCAGUCGUAGCAAUGAAAGGAGGUACCGGUCACCAUCUUACUCCAGGCGCCGUAGCAGGUCUGCCUCUCCAGCACGAUCUAAGUCUAGGACUCCAGUACGGAGUCGUUCGCGUUCUCGCUCACGGUCUGCGUCACGUCCACGUGGUCGAUCUGCAUCCCGCUCCCGAUCCAGGUCACGCACCCCAAGUGCUAAGAGAAACAGGUAAGAAUCAGCUCCACUUGCUGUGACCAGAAGUGCCAGGACUUUCCUCCAAAGAGUAGGCUGUGUGUUUUUGCUCAGAAUUGAAAUAAAAAUAGAAAUAUAGUAUUUUUAAUGUACAUGUUUACUUUUGCAAAUGUUCUUUAGCCACUCCUAUUAAAAAGAAGGUCUAUAUUACUGCUACUUCAUGUUAGAUUCAGUGGUUUCACAGUCAGGUUAGGCUUACUUGGAUAAGUUGAGGCUAGCUUUCCAGUUGGCCUUUACUACGUGGCAGAGAUGAACCGUCGCCUGAACUUCGCUGACAUCCCAGAAUGCACCGAGCUACACAUGUGACGAUGGACAGCCGUCGAUGGAAAUGGGUGAAAGAGAGUGUGGGAGUCGACGGCUCAAGCACUGACCAGGGUUCAUCCUUGCUGUGUAAAACGUCCUUCGGGAGGGUGAGAAAAUGCCCUGAGAUCAGCCUCCGCCAUGGUGGUUUCAUGAGGUCGUCCGACGCACGUUCUGACCAAGACGCUCCUAUCUGCACACACACACAGUUGUUCCACCUACCCCAUCCCCUCCCAGAAAUCCAUGCACUACUACUACCGACUACCACAUCUACUGCAAACCAGUGCUACGCUGAGAGAGAGCUCAGUCGACCAGUUAUGGCCCCCCACACCUUCAAAUCUGCGGCCUCAAUGCUUAGCUUCUCUGAGGGUGUGUGUGAGAGAGAGAGAAAGAGGGAAAGGAGAGCUGACGAGAGAUCAGACUUCAAGACCCUCCGAGUGUGUCUUCAAGUUCUAGCAUCCGUCGCUUCUCUGUACAUGUUGUUUCUGCCACUGUCUUCAAAGCCGUUCCCCGCUCUCCCAGCCCGAAAAAGAGCCCCACUCCUGGAACAGACUGAGAUGAAACCUAACCCAAACCCCCUAUCUCCCUCUUCUUUUUUUUCCAAAGCUGUCUUUUCCCCCCCUAAGGACUACUGUUUGUGUUAAGUCUCACCCGCAUACAAAUGUAAAAAUGAAUGUCCUUGAUCUAUCUAGUAUUAAUUACCAACUCUUUUGUCAUUGUGUACAAGACUGGAGUAGAAAGGACAGUGGCUUUGGUCAGUGAUUGUUUUUACCAGUUUGAAUUUUUACAACAUGCCACAUUUGUUGAGCCUUUCUUUUAUGACAAUGUUAUUUAAUUAAAGAUACAAAAAGAGGGCUGUGUUCAACAUUUUAUUUUUGCUGGAUGUUUAGUAUGGUUUUGAAAUAAAUCAGUCCAUUACCA